UUCCAAAUUUCAGAUCUUUCUUUUAAGAGAUGAAUUGGAGAGAACUCGAGGAAGAAAAAGAGGAUUUCUUAGUUCUAAGAUUGAGGAAGAAGGAGAAAAACUCAAAGGAAGUUUCAAUCAUGGUAGAUUUUGACCCAUUCUGCACACUUAUGGUUUUUUAUUCAGUUUGAUCUUCUCAAGAAGAACUAAGAGUGUGUACACAUUGAGUUAAAACCUCUAAUUGAUAUUUGGGGCAAACUUAUUCAAUUUCCUAUAACUUGUAUGAAGACUUUGAGAGCCAGUUAUGACUGGAAAUGGGUUAAAUUACAGGGACAACUUGAAGGUAAAGAUCAAAUUUUCAAUGCCUGAUAGACUGCCUUAGUCUGCUGAAGCUCCAAUAUCGAUUCCCAGUACGUAGUUAGAGUUGUACAUAGAGUCUGUUGUGUUAUGUUGUAUAUUUCUUUGUACGAUAUAGAUACUCUACAAUUUAUGUAAACUCUAGGAGUUGCAGUUGUGUAAAACUUUGUUAGUUAUGUUUUGGUUAAGGUGUCUCCAGGUUUACUUGCAAAAUUAGUAAAUUUCGGGCUACACUUCAUGUAUGUAUAUAAUUAGUCUAGCUUUCGAUGUGUUGUGUUGCAUAUAUAAUUGUUUACAUACUAGAUUAACAGGUUUAUCACGUUCAAUAGCUCAGCAGAGUUGACAGAUAUCGUUAGAGGAGAGCAAUGUCAGUCGACUUCACGCCGUCUUUCGGGCUAAUCUAGCAGGUGGUUCAGGAGGGGGUGUCACAUCUAUCACAUUCUUUCUAUUCUUUUUUAUUUGUGCUAAUAUAAAUGUGUUUAUAAUUAUUAUAGGUACAUGCAUUGCUUUAGAAAUGGAUGAUAGUGGUCAUUUCAAGUUUUUCUUUAUGGUUUUUGGUGCCUCAAUUGAGGGGAGGAAAUAUUGUAGACCUAUUAUUCCUGUUGAUGGUACAUUUUUUAAGUGUAAGUUUGGUGGCAUCCUAUUAACAACCUCAUCAAAAGAUGGUAACAAUCAAAUCUUCACUCUUGCUUUUGCCAUUUUAGAUUCUAAAAAUGAUGUAUCAUGGACAUGGUUUUUUUUAGAAGAUACGAGGAAGCUUCUUAGA